CUGUAUUCGUCUUCUGUGUCUCAGAACGGGCACGCCCACGUGGCUCCAGGCUCCUCAGCUUUCACUUCUCUUGACCGAGACCCACCUCUCUCCUUUCUCACCAGGGUAUUUACAGUUCCCUGCCUUCAGUGUGGUUCUUCAGCAAAGGACAAGCUGCUUAACCAGGAUGCUUCACUUCUCUCCACAGAGAAGGAUCACUGGAAUGAUGUCUUCAGUGAGUGGAAGAAGGUUCACCAGUGGCCGUGUCCUGCACUGGGAUAGCCCAUUCCUGAAAUCCACAUCUUUGUGGAUGGUGAGGGCAAGCAUGCCAGUUACACUCAGUGGACAAGAACCACGCAGAGUUUCUUGAAAGUGUGGAAACCUGUGUAAAUGAGCAGAGAACGUGAUGCAAAAUAACCAUCACAUUGCUAAGGAGACACAUCAAGAUGGGAAGCAGCAGUCACACUUACGAAAAUCAGAUUGGUGGGCUUGGGUCUCAGUGUUUUUAUAUAUGUAAAAUAUGCAUUUCAGUAUCUGCCAGAAUGGGAUGUUAUUUUACUAUGACUACAUUUCGAAUGCCUGGUUCCACAAUUUAAGAACAAUUUGGAAA